rnacentral:rRNA from 1 species
AUGAACGCUGGCGGCGUGCUUAACACAUGCAAGUCGCACGGGAAGGCCCAAGCUUGCUUGGGUACUCGAGUGGCGAACGGGUGAGUAACACGUGGGUGAUCUGCCCUGCACUUCGGGAUAAGCCUGGGAAACUGGGUCUAAUACCGGAUAGGACGAUGGUUUGGAUGCCAUUGUGGAAAGUUUUUUCGGUGUGGGAUGAGCUCGCGGCCUAUCAGCUUGUUGGUGGGGUAAUGGCCUACCAAGGCGUCGACGGGUAGCCGGCCUGAGAGGGUGUACGGCCACAUUGGGACUGAGAUACGGCCCAGACUCCUACGGGAGGCAGCAGUGGGGAAUAUUGCACAAUGGGCGCAAGCCUGAUGCAGCGACGCCGCGUGGGGGAUGACGGCCUUCGGGUUGUAAACUCCUUUCGCUAGGGACGAAGCGUUUUUGUGACGGUACCUGGAGAAGAAGCACCGGCUAACUACGUG